UGAUGGGUGAUUGAGAAUUAGGGUUUGAUUUUGGAGAGAGAUCCUAAGAAAUGGCUACCACAGCAAAGGAAGGCAGCAGGCGUGCAAAUUCCCCAAUCCUGACAUAGGGAGGUAGUGACAAUAAAUAACAAUACCAGGAUCAAUGAGUUUGGUAAUUGGAAUAAGUACAAUCUAAAUCCCUUAAUGAGGAUACAUUGGAGGGAGAGUUUGGUUCUAGAAGCCAUGGUAAUUCCAUCUCCAAAAGCGUAUAUUUAAGUUGUUGCAGUUAAAAAGCUCAAAGUUUGACUUUGGGAAUGGCCGGCAGGUCCUCCUAUGGUGUGCAUUGGUCGUCUCGUCCCUUCUAUUGGCGAUGCGCUCCAGGCCUUAACUGGAAGGGUCGUGCAUUCGACGCUGUUACUUUGAAGAAAUUAGAUUGCUUAAAGCAAGCCUAUGCUCUGUAUACAUUAGCAUGGGAUAACAUUAUAAGAUUUCUGUCCUAUUACGUUGGCCUUCCGGAUCGGAGUAAUGACUAAUAGGGAUAGUCGGGGGCAUUCGUAUUUCAUAGUCAAAGGUGAAAUUAUUGGAUUUAUGAAAUACGAACAACUACAAAAGUAUUUUCCAAGGAAUUUUACAUUAAUCAAGAACGAAAGUUGGGGGCUCGAAGGCAAUCAAAUACCAUCCUAGUCUCAAUUAUAAACGAUGCCGACCAAGAAUCGGAGGAUGUUGCUUUUAGGACUCCGCCGGCACCUUAUGAGAAAUAAAAGUUUUUGGGUUACGAGGGGAGUAUCGUCCCAAGCCUAAAACUUAAAGGAAUUGAAAGAAGGGCACCACCAGGAGUGGAGCCUGAGGCUUAAUUUGACUCAACACGGGGAAACAUACCAGGUCCAGACAUAGUAAGGAUUGACAGACUGAGAGCUCUUUGUUGAUUCCAUGGGUGGUGGUGCAUGGCCAUUCUUAGUUGGUGAAAUAAUUUUUCUUAGUGGUGGUCCAGGACCCUUUCGCGCUUAGGCACUCCAACCGCGACCCUAGGUCAGGAAAGAUUACCCGCUGAGUUUAAGCAUAUCAAUAAGCGGAGGAAAAGAAACUUAUAAGGAUUCCCUUAGUAACGGCGAGAAAAUCGGGAACAACCCAGCCUUAGAAUCGGGCGGCUCCGUC
rnacentral:rRNA from 1 species